AACGGGUGAGUAACACGUGAGCAACCUGCCCUUGACUCUGGGAUAAGCGCUGGAAACGGCGUCUAAUACCGGAUAUGAGCUGCGAUCGCAUGGUCAGCAGUUGGAAAGAUUUUUCGGUCUGGGAUGGGCUCACGGCCUAUCAGCUUGUUGGUGAGGUAAUGGCUCACCAAGGCGUCGACGGGUAGCCGGCCUGAGAGGGUGACCGGCCACACUGGGACUGAGACACGGCCCAGACUCCUACGGGAGGCAGCAGUGGGGAAUAUUGCACAAUGGGCGAAAGCCUGAUGCAGCAACGCCGCGUGAGGGAUGACGGCCUUCGGGUUGUAAACCUCUUUUAGCAGGGAAGAAGCGAAAGUGACGGUACCUGUGCCAGCAGCCGCGGUAAUACGUAGGGCGCAAGCGUUAUCCGGAAUUAUUGGGCGUAAAGAGCUCGUAGGCGGUUUGUCGCGUCUGCUGUGAAAUCCCGAGGCUCAACCUCGGGUCUGCAGUGGGUACGGGCAGACUAGAGUGCGGUAGGGGAGAUUGGAAUUCCUGGUGUAGCGGUGGAAUGCGCAGAUAUCAGGAGGAACACCGAUGGCGAAGGCAGAUCUCUGGGCCGUUACUGACGCUGAGGAGCGAAAGGGUGGGGAGCAAACAGGCUUAGAUACCCUGGUAGUCCACCCCGUAAACGUUGGGAACUAGUUGUGGGGUCCAUUCCACGGAUUCCGUGACGCAGCUAGUUCCCCGCCUGGGGAGUACGGCCGCAAGGCUAAAACUCAAAGGAAUUGACGGGGACCCGCACAAGCGGCGGAGCAUGCGGAUUAAUUCGAUGCAACGCGAAGAACCUUACCAAGGCUUGACAUAUACGAGAACGGGCCAGAAAUGGUCAACUCUUUGGACACUCGUAAACAGGUGGUGCAUGGUUGUCGUCAGCUCGUGUCGUGAGAUGUUGGGUUAAGUCCCGCAACGAGCGCAACCCUCGUUCUAUGUUGCCAGCACGUAAUGGUGGGAACUCAUGGGAUACUGCCGGGGUCAACUCGGAGGAAGGUGGGGAUGACGUCAAAUCAUCAUGCCCCUUAUGUCUUGGGCUUCACGCAUGCUACAAUGGCCGGUACAAAGGGCUGCAAUACCGCGAGGUGGAGCGAAUCCCAAAAAGCCGGUCCCAGUUCGGAUUGAGGUCUGCAACUCGAC
rnacentral:rRNA from 2 species